rnacentral:rRNA from 1 species
AACGAACGCUGGCGGCAGGCCUAACACAUGCAAGUCGAACGCCCCGCAAGGGGAGUGGCGCACGGGUGAGUAACGCGUGGGAAUAUGCCCUUCGGUUCGGAAUAACUCAGGGAAACUUGGGCUAAUACCGGAUACGGACUACGGUCGAAAGAUUUAUCGCCGAGGGUGUAGCCCGCGUAGGAUUAGCUAGUUGGUGAGGUAAUGGCUCACCAAGGCGACGAUCCUUGGCUGGUCUGAGAGGAUGAUCAGCCACACUGGGACUGAGACACGGCCCAGACUCCUACGGGAGGCAGCAGUGGGGAAUAUUGGACAAUGGGGGCAACCCUGAUCCAGCCAUGCCGCGUGAGUGAUGAAGGCCUUAGGGUUGUAAAGCUCCUUCGUCGGGGAAGAUAAUGACGGUACCCGAAGAAGAAGCCUCGGCUAACUCCGUGCCAGCAGCCGCCGUAA